rnacentral:rRNA from 1 species
CCGUGCGAAGGUAGCGCAAUCACUUGUCUUUUAAAUAGGGACCUGUAUGAAUGGCAUAACGAGGGCUUAACUGUCUCCUUUUUCAAGUCAAUGAAAUUGAUCUCCCCGUGCAGAAGCGGGGAUAAACACAUUAAGACGAGAAGACCCUGUGGAGCUUCAGACACUAAAGCAGAACAGCAUCAACACCCUGAACAUAGGACACAAACAAACUGUCUCCUGCCCUAUUGUCUUUGGUUGGGGCGACCGCGGAGAAAUAUAAAACCCCCGCAAGACUGUAUGUACUACAUUCACAACCAAGAGUUACAACUCUUACUAAACAGAACUUCUGACCAGUUAGAUCCGGCAAUGCCGAUCCAUGAACCAAGUUACCCCAGGAUAACAGCGCAAUCUCCUCUUAGAGUCCAUAUCGACAAGGGGUUUACGACCUCAUGUUGGAUCAGGACAUCCUUAUGGUGCAGCGCUAUUAGGGUUCGUUUGUUCAAGAUUAAGUCCUACGUGAUCU